CCUACGGGGGGCAGCAGUGAGGAAUAUUGGUCAAUGGCCGUAAGGCUGAACCAGCCAAGUCGCGUGAAGGAAGAAGGAUCUAUGGUUUGUAAACUUCUUUUAUAGGGGAAUAAAGGUAUCCACGUGUGGAUAUUUGCAUGUACCCUAUGAAUAAGCAUCGGCUAACUCCGUGCCAGCAGCCGCGGUAAUACGGAGGAUGCGAGCGUUAUCCGGAUUUAUUGGGUUUAAAGGGUGCGUAGGUUGUUUUUUAAGUCAGCGGUGAAAGUGUGUGGCUCAACCAUAAAAUUGCCGUGGAAACUGGAAGACUUGAGUGUGUUUGAGGUAGGCGGAAUGCGUGGUGUAGCGGUGAAAUGCAUAGAUAUCACGCAGAACUCCGAUUGCGAAGGCAGCUUACUAAGCCAUAACUGACACUGAAGCACGAAAGCGUGGGGAGCAAACAGGAUUAGAUACCCUAGUAGUC
rnacentral:rRNA from 1 species